GCCAUGCUAGGAUGGGAGGACUGGAUUCCUCUUAGAUCUGGGCAAGAAUGGGAAGUCUGGAUUUCUCAUGGAUCCGGUCAAGGGGUUGAAGGGUUUCCUAAAUUGAGAGAGCUUCACAUUUUAAGAUGUUCUAAGCUGCAAGGAACAUUUCCAGAGCACCUUCCUGCAUUGGAGAUGCUUGUUAUUGAAGCAUGUAUUGUUAUUGAAGGAUGUGAAGAAUUGUUAGUUUCAGUUUUGAGUCUUCCAGCUCUUUGCAAAUUCUUAAUUGGUGGAUGCAAAAAGGUUGUGUGGGAAAGUGCAACUGGUCAUCUCGGAUCACAGAAUUCAGUGGUUUGUAGAGAUACAUCAAAUCAAGUGUUUCUCGCAGGGCCAUUAAAGCCGCAACUACCAAAAUUGGAAGAAUUAAUUUUGUCGACAAAAGAGCAAACAUAUAUAUGGAAGAGUCAUGACGGAUUACUACAAGACAUUUGCUCUCUCAAAAAACUGACGAUUGACUGGUGUCCCAAACUUCAAUCCUUGGUGGCGGAGGAAGAGAAAGACCAACAACAGCAGCUCUGCGAGUUGUCAUGCAGACUCGAAUAUCUAAGAUUGAGAUAUUGCAAAGGCCUUGUGAAGCUGCCACAAUCAUCUCUCAGCCUCAGUUCCUUGAGAGAGAUAGACAUCUACGACUGCAGUUCCCUUGUUUCCUUUCCUGAGGUUGCUCUGCCUUCCAAGUUGAAGAAAAUUGAGAUUAGAAAAUGUGAUGCACUGAAAUCAUUACCAGAGGCAUGGAUGUGCGACACCAAUUCCUCUCUCGAGACCUUGAAAAUUGAGCGCUGCCGUUCGUUGACAUAUAUUGCUGGAGUCCAACUACCACCGAGCCUUAAGAGGUUGGACAUCUGGAAUUGUGAUAAUAUAAGGACUUUGACAGUGGAAGAGGGCGUCCAGAGCAGCAGCAGAAGGUACACCUCAUCUCUUCUUGAGCACUUACACAUUGGCAGUUGUGACUCUCUGACAUGUAUAUUUUCAAAAAACGAGUUACCUGCCACGCUUGAGUCCCUUGAAGUUGGCAAUCUACCUCCGUCUCUUAAGUCCCUUGGUGUUUGGGGAUGUUCAAAGCUGGAGUCAAUAGCAGAAAGGUUGGACAACAACACAUCUCUUGAAACAAUCGGUAUUUAUAAUUGUGAAAAUCUGAAAAUUUUACCGAGUGGUUUACAUAAUCUCCGCCAGCUUCAAGAGAUUCAGAUAUGGGAUUGUGGAAAUCUGGUGUCCUGUCCCGAAGGGGGAUUGCCUUGUGCGAAACAGAGUAAGCUCAGGAUCUAUUGGUGUGAGAGACUGGAGGCCUUACCCAAGGGAUUGCACAAUCUGACCUCUCUUCAAGAAUUAACAAUAGGAAGAGGAGUUGAGCUUCCAAGCCUUGAAGAAGAUGGCCUUCCCACCAACCUUCAUUCUCUUGCGAUUUGGGAUAAUAUGAAGAUUUGGAAGUCAACGAUUGAGUGGGGCCGGGGAUUUCACAGAUUCUCCUCUCUGCGACAACUUACAAUCGUUGGAUGUGAUGACGACAUGGUGUCAUUUCCACCAGAGCCAGAGGACAUAAGAUUGGGGACCACGCUUCCUCUUCCUGCCUCUCUAACAUCUCUAGAGAAAAUUGAGAUUAGAAAAUGUGAUGCACUGAAAUCAUUACCAGAGGCAUGGAUGUGCGACACCAAUUCCUCUCUCGAGACCUUGAAAAUUGAGCGCUGCCGUUCGUUGACAUAUAUUGCUGGAGUCCAACUACCACCGAGCCUUAAGAGGUUGGACAUCUGGAAUUGUGAUAAUAUAAGGACUUUGACAGUGGAAGAGGGCGUCCAGAGCAGCAGCAGAAGGUACACCUCAUCUCUUCUUGAGCACUUACACAUUGGCAGUUGUGACUCUCUGACAUGUAUAUUUUCAAAAAACGAGUUACCUGCCACGCUUGAGUCCCUUGAAGUUGGCAAUCUACCUCCGUCUCUUAAGUCCCUUGGUGUUUGGGGAUGUUCAAAGCUGGAGUCAAUAGCAGAAAGGUUGGACAACAACACAUCUCUUGAAACAAUCGGUAUUUAUAAUUGUGAAAAUCUGAAAAUUUUACCGAGUGGUUUACAUAAUCUCCGCCAGCUUCAAGAGAUUCAGAUAUGGGAUUGUGGAAAUCUGGUGUCCUGUCCCGAAGGGGGAUUGCCUUGUGCGAAACAGAGUAAGCUCAGGAUCUAUUGGUGUGAGAGACUGGAGGCCUUACCCAAGGGAUUGCACAAUCUGACCUCUCUUCAAGAAUUAACAAUAGGAAGAGGAGUUGAGCUUCCAAGCCUUGAAGAAGAUGGCCUUCCCACCAACCUUCAUUCUCUUGCGAUUUGGGAUAAUAUGAAGAUUUGGAAGUCAACGAUUGAGUGGGGCCGGGGAUUUCACAGAUUCUCCUCUCUGCGACAACUUACAAUCGUUGGAUGUGAUGACGACAUGGUGUCAUUUCCACCAGAGCCAGAGGACAUAAGAUUGGGGACCACGCUUCCUCUUCCUGCCUCUCUAACAUCUCUAGAGAUUUCUAGAUUUCCAAAUCUGGAACGCCUAUCUUCUUCAAUUGUUGAUCUUGAAAACCUCACUAAAUUGACACUCUAUGAUUGUCCGAAGCUCAAAUACUUUCCGGAGAAGGGCCUGCCUUCCUCACUUUUGCAAUUAAAUAUCUGGGAAUGUCCGUUGAUAGAAGAGAAGUGCAGAAAGGAUGGAGGACAAUAUUGGGACUUGUUAACCCUUAUACCGUGUGUUCUAAUAGGCUGGUAAAUCCGUUUUUGGCGAUAACACAUAGGACGACUGAUAGGACGGCUGAAAUAUUUUAUUGUUAGUAUUUUUUUUUUUAAAUUGGGCGUGUAUUAUGUGUUGGUGAUUAAUGGGUUUUCGAAAUAAAAAGAACAAAGGAGGAGGACUCUAUUAAUUAAUUAAUGAAUUAAUUUCUCAUUCUCAGCUGAUGAAACUUCAGUUUCUUAUAUUUGUCUUUUCCGCAGUAAGGUUACAUAUGUAAAAUAUUUUAUUAUUAGAAUUUUUUUAAAACUAAUUUUUUAUUAUUACUUUUAACCCGUCUUUGGUGUAAUCUUUGCUCAAAUUUCCCUUUAGAAUCCACUAUUUGAUAAAUGUAUAGAAUUCAUUCAAGUUACAGCUUCGAAUUAGAAAUGAGGAAUUUUCAUCAUACAAUAUUUAUAGGAAACCAUUUUGCCCUGCAAUGCUGUACAGUGAUUUGUAAACUUGGCCCGUAGACCAUCGGUCUUUCAUUAAGCCUACACAAAGCAGAAUUUGUCUUUUGCCCGUUGAAACUUCAGUUCCUUAUGUAAAAUAUUUUAUUAUUAGAAUUUUUUUUUCUUCUAAAUCAAGCGUGUUUGUGUAUGUAAUUUUAAAAUUCAAAUCUCAGUUGAAAACUGUUUUAAAUUAAUAAAAAAAAAUGUUAAGUACAGUAAGGGGCUCGCAUUAUUUUAGCAACGGGGGACUGUAUUAAUUAAUUAAUUAAUAGAUUAAUUUCUUAUGCGUAUCUCAUUCUUAGCUGUUGAAAUAAACGUCAGUUUUUUUUUUAUUUAGCUGUACGGUUACAUAUGUGUAAUAUUUCUCUUCAUCAGACUUCGGCAAAAAUUGUUAAUGUUCUUCUUAGUAAUUAAUUAGUACGUUAGUGUUCUUCUUUUGUUGUGUUUGUAUAACAACAAUGCUACCCAAUAUCAAUUGACCAAGUAAAUUAAACCGACCACAGUUUAUCAAAAGCAUUUUAUUAUAUAAUCUUCGUACAUGUACAUCGUCAUCAAAUCCCAUAACAACAAAAACAGAAAAUCAAAAGAAAACAAGAACAUGCCACACAAUAUCAAAAACGAAAAGAACAUUAUAACGCCAAGUAUUAUAUUUCUCUAAUUACAUUUCGGUUUUAGUGGCCUUAACUUAAAAUCUCCUCCAGAACAAUCUGCCUCUUCAACAAUAAUGUUAUAAUGUUCUUUUGAUGUUGUUGUUUUUUUAGGUGCUAAUUAAACAUAUGAGGGCUGGGCCGCGUUACAAAAUUAUUUGUAAUUUGUAAUUUAAUUGUUUAUGUGCCAUCGCUAUUAAUAUUAAUCGAGACACGGGAUGCUGGUGCUGCACUCGCGGGAUGGUGCUCGAUACUGGUGCUGCGCGCGCGGGGUGGUGCUCGAUGCUGGUGCUGCGCUGUGUUGCUCGCGGCUGGAGCUUAGGAUCUACGUUGUGGGGGCUGGAUCUGCACACUACUGUGUUGUGCGCGAGAGCUGCUGCUGCGUGGCUGUGGCUGCUGCAUUGCGUUGCGCGCGGCUGCUGCGUGGGCUGCGGGAAAGAAUUAGGGAUUUUGUGAAUUAGGGAUUUUUUUUAAUAGUGAUUUUUGAAUUUUUUUAUAAAUAAAUAUAUAAAAGAAAGAACAAAAGAAAAUCUCCUUUUUUCGUUUUUUAAAUAAAUAGAUAGAUAAAAUAAAAAAUAAAAUAAUUUUUUUAAUUCUUUUUUUUGUGAUGAAUCACUUUGAGACACCAAAACUUUCAGAAGUACUUUUUUAAUAAGCACGUGGGCACGCCUUAAAACCAUUUUACUUUAAAAAUCACAGAAGUACUUAUUAGUUAAGACGUGGGCAUGCCUUAUCAAAAAUUUUCUUCUGACCAAAAUAAGCAAACACAUUAUUUUUUUUUAAAAAAAAUCUGAAUCAAAAUUAAAAGAAGAUAUAACAAAAACCAAAAUAAAUAAAUCAUUUGGGUUGCCUCCCAAAAAGCGCCUUUAUUUUAUGUCUUUAGCUAGACACAUUUAUGCAUCAAUCUCCAUAAUUGGGAAUCUCGAGAGCCACAUCCUCCACACUAUUCAUUGAAAAACCUUCAUAAAAAAGUUUUAAGCGAUGACCGUUAACUUUAAAAACUUUGUCAGAGGUUGGACUUCGAAUCUCAACUGCACCAUGAGGAAAAACAUUAGUAACAAUAAAAGUCCAACCCAGUAAGAACAUAAUUUACCUGGAAAACAUUUAACCUUAAAAUGAAAAAGAAGAACUUUUUAACCAACAAAGAACUCCUUUCUCAAAAUCAUUCUAUCAUGAAAUGUUUUCGUUUUUUCCUUGUAAAAAACUUCCUGCACUAUAGGGUUAAUAACAUCCACAGAAAAUAUCGAAUGUUCCUCACUAGGAUAUUUCAUGGCAUCAUUCAUAUUGAAUUCUAUAACCUCUCCAUCAAACUCCAUAGUGAGAGUCCCUUUAUGUACAUCCAUUUUAGUCCUAGCAGUCUUAAGAAAAGGUCUUCCUAGCAAAAUUGGGAUAUAAUUAGAGGAGUUAUGAUCUUCCAUAUCAAGUACAUAAAAAUUAGCAGGAAAAACCAAUUCAUUAACUUGUACUAAGACAUCUUUUAAUACCCCAUCAGGAUAUGCAUUACACCUAUAAGCUAGUGGAAUUAUCACGCCAGUUUCUUUUAAUAGACCAACAUUCAAAGUUGAAUAAAUGGAACUAGGCAUGACAUUAAUAGAAGCUCCUAGAUCUAACAUAGCCUUUUCAACUCUGACAUUACCAAUUUUGCAAGGGAUAGUAAACAUACCUGGAUCCUUGCACUGAGGAGGUAGUUUCUUUUGAAGAACUGCUGAAACAUUCUCCCUCAUGUGAACUUUUUCAUCUCCUCUUAAUUUUCUCUUGGAGGUGCACAGUUCCUUAAGGACUUUAGCAUAUUGAGGUAUUUGUUUUGUAGCAUCUAAUAAAGGAAUAUUUACCUCAACCUUGCGAAAUGUCUCAAGGAUGUCUUUCUCUUGUUCCUCCUUCUUGGAUUUUGUAAACCAGCUUGGAAAAUGAGGAGGUAUCACAAUAGGUAGGGGUUUCGCUCUAGUGGGUUGCACAUCUUGAGAUUUAGGCAUCAAUUCAUUCUUCUCAAGCUCAUCUUCUACAUGCUUUAUCACUUUCUUACUAGUCUCUUGCAACUCCUUCCCACUUCUAAUGGAAAAGGAGGAGGUAUCACAAUAGGUAGGGGUUUCGCUCUGGUGGGUUGUGCAUCUUGAGAUUGAGGCAUCAAUUCAUUCUUCUCAAGCUCAUCUUCUACAUGCUUUAUCACUUUCUUACUAGUCUCUUGCAACUCCUUCCCACUUCUAAGGAUGACAGCACUAACAUUUUACUUUGGAUUCACCUCAGAUUAUGAAGGCAAUCUCCCUAAUACUUGAGACUCCAGACGGCUCACUGUAGUCGCUAAUUGACUCAUUUGGUUCUCCAAGUUCUGUACGCUUGUCGUAGUUGCCUGUUGAAAUUGUUGAGUGUUAGUCGCAAGUGAUUUAACAAUUUCUUCAAGAGAUGUACCUGACUUGGAGUUUGACUGUGGAGGUGCUGGUUGUCUUGGUGGAUACUGUUGUGGGAAUCCUGACGGCCUAACUCCAUAGCUGAAGUUGGGAUGAUCCUUCCAUCCCGAAUUAUAUGUUUGGGCAUAAGGAUCAUACCUUCUCUGAGGCAUGCCUGGAAAUCCUCCAACUGCAUUGGCUUGUUCAACGGGUUCUUCUUGAAGUGUAGGACACAUAUCAGUUGAAUGACCCAUAUUGUAACAAAUGCCACAAGUCUUCACCUGUUGCACGUUACCUACAACAAACUUUUCCACAAGAGAAGUAAGUUUAUCUAAACGUUGUUCAAUAGAAGAAAUAUUUACCUCAUUCACCUUCCUUGAAGUGAGAUCUUGCCUGCUACUAAAUUGUUGUGCGUUGGCAGCCAUAUUUGAUAUUAACUCCCUUGCUUGAGUAGGGGUCUUGUUCACCAACACACCUCCACUAGCAGCAUCUAUCAUACUCCUAUCCAUCAAUGACAGUCCUUCGUAAAAAUAUUAAAUAAGAAGUUGAUCAGAAAUCUGAUGCUGAUGACAGCAGGCACACAAUUGUUUGAAUCGCUCCUAAUACUCAUACAAAGUCUCCCCAGGAAGUUGUCAAAUCCCACAAAUGUCUUUUCUAAUGUUAGCAGCUCUUGAAGCAGGAAAAUACUUCUCGAGGAACUGCUUCUUCAAACCAUUCCACAUUGUAAUUGAUCCAGGAGGCAAGUAGUAUAACCAAUCUUUAGCUAACCCAUCUAAAGAGAACGGAAAAGCACGCAGCUUAAUCUGCUCUUCAGUCACGCCUUGUGGCCUCAUACUUGAGCACACAACAUGAAACUCCUUAAGAUGUUUAUGAGGAUCUUCACCUGCAAAACCAUGAAACUUGGGUAAUAAAUGAAUAAGACCAGACUUUAAUUCAAAAUUUACCUCCAAAUCUACAUAUUGAAUGCAGAGUGGUUGCUGAUUCAAGUCUGGUUCAGCUAACUCUCUAAGAGUUCUUUCUACAGGUGCAGGUCUAUCCAUCACUUGUUCUUCUGAAUCGCUAGAUGAUUCAACUAAAUCAGGCACCGUAUCUGUUUCAGAAAGCAAAGGCGACGAGGAUCGUUGCUUAGCUCGCUUUGUCUGCUGUCUCAGUUGGCGAGCUGUCUUCUCAAUUUUAGGAUCAAACGAAAGUGUACCUGUACGAGAAGAACGAACCAUACACCAAGUAAAACGUAAAAAAGAUUAAAUAAAUGACACCAAUCCCCGGCAANNNNNNNNNNNNNNNNNNNNNNNNNNNNNNNNNNNNNNNNNNNNNNNNNNNNNNNNNNNNNNNNNNNNNNNNNNNNNNNNNNNNNNNNNNNNNNNNNNNNNNNNNNNNNNNNNNNNNNNNNNNNNNNNNNNNNNNNNNNNNNNNNNNNNNNNNNNNNNNNNNNNNNNNNNNNNNNNNNNNNNNNNNNNNNGUGCGUUGGCAGCCAUAUUUGAUAUCAGCUCCCUUGCUUGAGUAGGGGUCUUGUUCACCAACACGCCUCCACUAGCAGCAUCUAUCAUACUCCUAUCCAUCAAUGACAGUCCUUCGUAAAAAUAUUGAAUAAGAAGAUGAUCAGAAAUUUGAUGCUGAGGACAGCUGGCACACAAUUUUUUGAAUCGCUCCCAAUACUCAUACAAAGUCUUCCCAUGAAGUUGUCUGAUCCCACAAAUGUCUUUUCUGAUGUUGGCAGCUCUUGAAGCAGGAAAGUACUUCUCGAGGAACUGCUUCUUCAAAUCAUUCCACGUUGUAAUCGAUCCAGGAGGCAAGUAAUACAACCAGUCUUUAGCUAGCCCAUCUACAGAGAACGGAAAAGCACGCAGCUUAAUCUGCUCUUCAGUCACGCCUUGUGGUCUCAUACUUGAACAUACAACAUGAAACUCCUUAAGAUGUUUAUGAGGAUCUUCACCUGCAAAACCAUGAAACUUGGGUAAUAAAUGAAUAAGACCAGACUUUAAUUCAAAAUUUACCUCCAAGUCUACAUAUUGAAUGCAGAGUGGUUGUUGAUUCAAGUCUGGUUCAGCUAACUCUCUAAGAGUUCUUUCUACAGGUGCAUCUCUAUCCAUCACUUGUUCUUCUGAAUCGCUAGAUGAUUUAACUAAAUCAGGCACUGUAUCUGUUUCAGAAAGCAAAGGUGAAGAGGAUCGUUGCUUAGCUCGCUUCGUCUGCUGUCUCAGCUGGCGAGCUGUCUUCUCAAUUUCAGGAUCAAACGAAAGUGUACCUGUACGAGAAGAACGAACCAUACACCAAGUAAAACGUAAAAAGGAUUAAAUAAAUGACACCAAUCCCCGGCAACGGCGCCAAAAUUUGAUGGUUGUCGAAGUCAACAAAAAUAAAUUCCUACUCUAAAUAAAUUGUGUAUAGUGAUUGAGCAGGGUCGUGUCCACAGAGAUCGGUAAUUAUUUAAAUCCUUUUGAAACGUAAAACGUAAAAUGGGGGAAUUGUUGACAAUAAUAAAAAUCAAAUUAAAAUAACAAGAAUGCAAAUUAAAGUUGUAAUUCAAAUUGGAGAAAGCUCUGGUUGAAGGAAUUAACUCAGCUUGAUUCGACUACUGAUCAUUGAUUCAAAUAAAUAUUAUUAUUACUUAUGAAUAGACCGAUUAUAGCUACUGAGACUCUUUAAUAGCCAAUCUCUCCUUAACUAGUUGAUAACCAAGGUACGACCAUUGGAUAUUUCCCUAAUCAAUAAACAACCCUAGAUACGAUCAUAGGAUUUAAUCAAUUGAUAGCCUAGAAAAUCGGAGAAACCUAAAUCCUAAUCAACACAUAUGAUGAUUCAUUUAAAUUAGUUUGUUUAUUCUCAUAACACAACUCACUGCUAUAUUAUUUGUCACAAACAUUAAAAUCUUCAUAUGAUGAAUCCUUUAAUUGACAAUUGAUUAAGUUGAUAAUUAAAUAGUGGCCAAUUACCUAAUUAACAAACAUAACCAUGAAACUAAUUCAGAGAAUAAACAAAUACCCAAAAAGUAAUAAAACAAUUAAAGCAUAAGAAAGAUCUCGCAGUAGUGAUGAAUCAAAGCUUCAUUAAUCUUCAACUAGAAAAAUAAGUUUAGUUCUUCAUAGAGAGAAGAAGAAAAUUAGAUCUAGGGUUUCUUUCUUUUUCUCCAAUCCAAACCCCCCCCCCCUUUUUUCACAAUAGAUUCCUCCCUUAAAUACUCUCUCUCUCGUCUCUUUUAAAGUUCUAUUUAAAAUAAAAUACUAAUAUCUGAAAUUUUAAAUUUGUAAUUACAAAAAUAACCAAAAAUACAAAACAUGUUAAACUAAAAACUGCAGGUUUGCAGUUGACAGCACGCGCCCACGCCUUAUCAACAAAGUUCUUCUGCCGCUCAUAAUUUCUUCAAGAGAACAAUCAUCCUUAAACAUCAUCUUGUAGCUCAAUUUUAUCACCAAUCAAUAGAAUUGCACCUACAAAAGUAAAUCACUAGUAAAUCACUAUUAUUAAGUGCAAAACAUCGAUAUUAAGGGAAGUAAACAAUGCAAAACUAGUGCAUAAAUUGCACUCUAACAGUCUUGAAUUACAUAUUAAUUUUCUACCGUUUACCUUUUUCAUUUUAUUAAAGUUCCACCAUUUUUAUUGCUAUUUUCUAUGUUUGCCAUUCCGCACAAAUACAUAUCCCCAAUGUAUUAGUUAUCACUUCUUAGAAAUUUUGUAAAUAUCAACAAUUAAUAUCAUUAUUCAAUCAUUUAGAAAAACCUCAUUAUUAAUGAUUAGUUUAUCUCUCAAUUAAAACUAGACACAUUGUAAAUAUGUGAACUCUAAUUAAAUCUUGAUACUUGUAAUAUAUAUGAGCCAUAUCUAAAAGAGUGAGUUUUAAUUUCGACUUCCAUUUUUUUAAAUGCUAGGUAGAUGUACUGAAUAGGAAGCAACAAAUGAAGAUGGAUUCUUUUUGCUGGACACUGGUUUUUAUUUUUCAUUUUUUCCAAUUAUUCAAUGGUGCUUGGUCCACCCAUGUCCGGUUCGUCAAGCAGACAAGCACAAGCGCGUGAAGCUUGAUAAAUUAUUGAUGGUGGUCGGGGCUGCCUCUGGCUUUUGCUUCCACUUUCGUGUAAUAAAGUGAAGUUUGCUAAAUUAUCGGUGGCGGGUCUUUUUUUGUUUUCACAUUAGAGUUAUUUCAGUUGAUGACAUAUUAAUCGUCUUGUUAUUUUUAUUAAGUAUAUGUAUUAAGUAUAAAUGAGUCGAAUUUAUGUUCAGCUAAAAUUUGUUAUAGUUUAUUUUGACACGACAGUAAUGUAACGCGACGGUAGGAAUUACCAUUGGGAUUAUAAAAAAUUGUUGCGUACUUUUAAGUCUUCGUUUUAGCAUGGAAAUUAAUUCAAUCAAUAAAGUAGUUUUAGGGCAGAAAGAGAGAGAGAGAGAAACGUUUUGAUUUAACUUGGUUUAUGAGUUUGAAGACUUGUAAAGGGAAGGUUCGUAGUAGAUACAUUCCAUUUUCCACUUUAUUCAGCAUUUACCGGGACACUGGAUUAAUGUUGCAUGGCCCUACAAAUGUCAUAUUCAUUGAAUUGCUAAAUUAUUAUAUUCAUUGAAUCUGGUAACAAGUGGUGGUGAUUGGUGAAUUGCUAAAUUAAUGGGUAGUGGGCUCUGUUUUUAUUUUCACUUUCCUGGAAUAAACAACAAGUGGAAGACUUGUUACGCGCGUUUUGCAUUUCCAAACUCAAAAUUCUGUUUCUUUCUUUGCAAAAAAAAAAAAAAAAAGGAAAAAAAGAAAAAAAAUGUCAAUCAGCGGAGAGUAGCGUAAUUAUUGGUGGUAGUACUGUCUUUUACUUCAUUUAGUGUAAUAAUCACGUUUUGUUAGUUAUGUUAUUAACUUACUAAAUAUAUACCUUGAACAAAUGAGUCGAAUUUAUUUUAUCUAAAAUUUCAUUUUACAACAAAAAUAUAACAUUAUGAUUGGACUUGGCAUUGAGAUUAAAAAAAAAUAUAGUGCACUUAUAAGAAUAAAAAGAGAGAUUAAAAUCAUUUAUUUUAACUUGCUUUUAUAAGUAGAAGACUUCUACAACAAAGAUGGAUGCAUUCUAUUUUCCUCCAUAUUCAACAUUUUUUUUUCAUUAUUCAACGUUUGAAGAAAAAAUAAGAAUUUUGAUAUUCUUAGCAUUGAAGAAUUGAUAGACUCUCUUCAAACAUUUAAGAUGAACCUUAAUUAGGGUUUUGAAAAUUAUAAAGAACAAUAUUUUAAAAGCGUUAGCUGAGUAAAUUUUAGCAUUAAUUACGAUUCCACUCUAAAUCGAAAAUGUGUAGGUUUUUCUCUUAUUAUUAUUUUUAAAAUUCUAGCAUUAAUUGCGGCUCUGUUUUUUCUUUUCUUAGCUGCAAGGAACAACAAGUGGGGAGACUUGCCACGUUUUACGUCGUAUUUUGCGUGACCCUUGACACUUAAUUACUAAGCAUUUUCAUUUUGCUCUCCAAGUGGUGGUGAUGAGUGAAUUGCCAAAUUAUUAGUCAUUGGUCAAUAAAGUAUAAACGCGUGAUUUCUAGCUGCGCCAGACCCUUCACAAUCACAAACUCAUUCUGCUUGAUUAUCCAUUUUCUCACCUGUUCAAUAUUCUCAUUCUGCUUUCCAUAACCCAUAAUUCUGCUCCUUUCUUCCUUUGCCCAAAAAAAAAAAGAAAAAAAUGUCAAUCAUCGGAGAGGCAAUCCUUACGGCGUCCGUUGAUUUGCUGGUCAAUAAGUUAGCUUCAGAUGGGAUUCUGUUUUUUGCACGCCAAGAGAAGAUCCAAGACUAUCUAAUGAAGUGGGAGAAUAUGUUGGAGAUGAUCAAGGCGGUGCUUGAUGAUGCUGAGGAGAAGAAGACGACUAAUCAGUUUGUGAAGAAGUGGCUUGGCAAGCUUCAGAACUUGGCUUAUGAUGUUGAAGACUUGUUGGAUGAGUUUCAAACUGAGGCUUUCCGGAGGAAGUUGCUGCUUGGAAAUGGAGAACCAGAUGCGGCUCAUGAUGAACCCAGUAGCAGUCAUACGAGACCAAGUAAGCUUCGGACGCUCAUUCAUACUUGCUUCACCAUUUGUACUCCACAAUCGAUUCAGUUCGAUUACGCCAUGAUGCCCAAAAUCGAAGAGAUCAACAGCAGAUUUCAACAUAUUGUAACACAGAAAAACUCGCUGGGUUUGAACGUAAGUUCAGCGGGGAGGAGCACAGGAGACAGGCAAAGACGAGAGACAACCUCUUUGGUGAAUGAAGCCAAAGUAUAUGGCAGGGAAACAGAAAAGAAGGAAAUUGUUGAAUUGUUGUUGAAGGAUGAUUCAAGAAAUGAUGGUGGGUUCGCUGUUAUUCCUAUUAUAGGUAUGGGCGGGCUGGGUAAAACCACUCUUGCUCAGCUUGUCUACAAUGAUAAGCAAGUGGAGGACCAUUUUGGUCUCAAGGCAUGGACUUGCGUCUCUGAUGAUUUUGAUCUUAUCAGGCUUACAAAAUCAAUCCUACUUUCAAUUGCUAGUGACCAGAAAGUGGAUGAUCACGACUUAAAUAAGCUUCAAGAGAAAUUGAAGAAACAACUGCUUAGAAAGAAAUUUUUGCUUGUUUUGGACGACGUAUGGAAUGAUAAUUACAAUGAUUGGGUUCAAAGGCUUUCCGGAGGAAGUUGCUGCUUGGAAAUGGAGAACCAGAUGCGGCUCAUGAUGAACCCAGUAGCAGUCAUACGAGACCAAGUAAGCUUCGGACGCUCAUUCAUACUUGCUUCACCAUUUGUACUCCACAAUCGAUUCAGUUCGAUUACGCCAUGAUGCCCAAAAUCGAAGAGAUCAACAGCAGAUUUCAACAUAUUGUAACACAGAAAAACUCGCUGGGUUUGAACGUAAGUUCAGCGGGGAGGAGCACAGGAGACAGGCAAAGACGAGAGACAACCUCUUUGGUGAAUGAAGCCAAAGUAUAUGGCAGGGAAACAGAAAAGAAGGAAAUUGUUGAAUUGUUGUUGAAGGAUGAUUCAAGAAAUGAUGGUGGGUUCGCUGUUAUUCCUAUUAUAGGUAUGGGCGGGCUGGGUAAAACCACUCUUGCUCAGCUUGUCUACAAUGAUAAGCAAGUGGAGGACCAUUUUGAUCUCAAGGCAUGGACUUGCGUCUCUGAUGAUUUUGAUCUUAUCAGGCUUACAAAAUCAAUCCUACUUUCAAUUGCUAGUGACCAGAAAGUGGAUGAUCACGACUUGAAUAAGCUUCAAGAGGAGCUGAAGAAGAAGUUAUCUCAAAAGAAAUUUUUGCUUGUUUUAGACGACGUUUGGAAUGAGAAUUACAAUGACUGGGUUGACAUGAGCCGUCCGUUUGAAGCUGGCGCACAGGGAAGUAAGAUUGUUGUCACUACUCGCAAUCAACAGGUUGCAAAAAUCAUGAGGCCGGAUCAAGCUUAUGAAUUGAAAAACUUGUCCACUGAGGAUUGUCUGUCUGUGUUUGCUCAGCACUCUUUGGGGACAAGAGAUUUCAGUUCACACAAGUCAUUGGAGGACAUUGGCAAGAAGAUAGUGAUCAAAUGCAAUGGCUUGCCCUUGGCAGCAAAAACACUGGGAGGACUUUUAUGUGGAGAACAUGACAGAGGUGUGUGGGAAGAUGUGCUCAGUAGCAAGAUAUGGGUAUUACCAGAAGAUAUAUGUCCCAUUAUACCAGCCCUUGCAGUGAGCUAUUAUUAUCUUCCUCCAAUUUUAAAACAAUGCUUUGCACACUGCUCGUUGUUUCCGAAGGAUUAUGAAUUUGAAGAGGAGGAGAUAAUUUUAUUAUGGAGUGCCGUGGGUUUCUUGGAUCACGGAGAGAGCGGGAAUCCAAGUGAAGAUCUUACUUUUUUACCAGUAAUGUUGACAAACAGUUGGCCUGGCUACUUGGCUCCUAGCAUUCUUCCUAAGUUGCUCAAACUCCAACGCUUGAGGGUCUUCUCUUUGCGUGGAUACCGCAUCCCAGAGCUGCCGGAUUCAAUUGGUGAUUUGAGGUAUUUAAGGUACCUUAACCUGUCUGGAACUGAGAUUAGCACUCUGCCUGAAUCAGUCAACAAGCUUUACAAUUUGCACAGUCUUUUGUUGGAAGAUUGUGAUCGGCUGAGGAAGUUGUGUGCAGGCAUGGGAAACCUCGCCAAAUUGCAUCAUCUUAAGAAUUCAAAUACGAAGUCGUUGGAGGAAAUGCCAGUAGGAAUUGGUAGGUUGACUAGUCUUCAGACGUUGUGUGAUUUUGUUGUGGGAGAAGGCAGUGGUUCCGGGUUACGAGAGCUAAAGUUGUUGACGCACCUUCAUGGGACACUUAACAUUUCAAAAUUGGAGAAUGUAAAAUGCAUUGGUGAUGCCAUGGAGGCUCAAAUGGAUGGAAAGAAGAAUCUGAAAGAAUUAUCGCUUAAAUGGACUUGCAGUACUGAUGGUUCUUCUUCAAGGGAGGCAGAAACUGAAAUGGGCGUGCUUGACAUGCUAAAACCUCAUACAAAUCUGGAGCAAUUUUGUAUCAAAGGCUAUGGAGGUAUGAAAUUUCCAACUUGGUUGGGAGAUUCCUCAUUCUCAAAUUUGGUGACCCUAGAAUUUGAAAAUUGUGACAUGUGUACUGCCCUGCCGUCAGUCGGGCAACUACCCUCUCUAAAGCAUCUUGCAGUAUGUGGAAUGAGCAGAGUAAAGAGGUUGGGUUCAGAGUUCUAUGGGAAUGAUGCUCCAUUUCCUUUUCCAUGCUUGGAGACUCUUCGUUUUGAAAACAUGCGAGAAUGGGAAGACUGGAUUCCUCUUAGAUCUGGUCAGGGAGUUGAAGGGUUUCCUAAAUUGAGAGAGCUUCAUCUUAUAAGCUGUUCUAAACUGCAAGGAACAUUUCCAGAGCACCUUCCUGCAUUGCAGAUGCUUGUUAUUCAAGAAUGCAAAGAAUUGUUAGUUUCAAUUACCAGUCUUCCAGCUCUUUGCAAAUUAGAGAUUGAUGGAUGUAAAGAGGUUGUGUGGGAAAGUGCAACUGAUCAUCUCGGGUCA
rnacentral:lncRNA from 1 species